rnacentral:rRNA from 1 species
UGACCGCAAGGUCAUGGCUCAUCCACAGGUGCUGCAUGGUUGUCGUCAGCUCGUGCCGUGAGAUGUAGGUUAAGUCCUUGAACGAGCGCAACCCCUUUCGUCAGUUGCAAACCAGCAAUGGCGCACCCUGACGAUACUGCCAGCUAAAAGUUGGAGGAAGGAGGGGAUGACGUCAAAUCCUCAUGGCCUUUAUGGUCCAGGGCUACACACAUGCGACAAUGGUCGGUACAACGGGUUGCAACACCGCGAGGUGAAAGCCAAUCCCUAAAAACCGACCUCAGUUCAGAUUGCAGACUGCAAUUCGUCUACAUGAAGAUGGAGUUGCUAGUAACCGCGGGUCAGCUACACCGCGGUGAAUAUGUUCCCGGGCCUU